GCCCUUAUAGCUCAGCCGGUAGAGCACCUGAUUUGUAAUCAGGGGGUCGGCGGUUCAAAUCCGUCUGGGGGCACCA
rnacentral:tRNA from 1 species